AAGCUGUACUGUUCAGUAAUAUAAUAGCAACAGUAGUGACACAUGGUUAGGUAGGACACAAGAUAUCUGUUAGAUAGGAACAACAGUAGUGAUACAUGGUUAGGUAGGACACACGAUAUCUGUUAGAUAGGAACAACAGUAGUGAUACAUGGUUAGGUAGGACACAAUAUCUCUGUUAGAUAGUAACAACAGUAGUGAUACAUGGUUAGGUAGGACACAAGAUAUCUGUUAGAUAGGAACAACAGUAGUGAUACAUGGUUAGGUAGGACACAAGAUAUCUGUUAGAUAGGAACAACAGUAGUGAUACAUGGUUAGGUAGGACACAAGAUAUCUGUUAGAUAGGAACAACAGUAACGUUAGUGAUACAAACCCUCAAUGUGAAGUGAUAUUAAUCCAUAAAUGCAGAGCACAAGUACAACCCUUUUAUAUAAACCUUUUAAGGUAAUAAGAAAAUAAACAUUAACUUAAUAUUUCAACAAGUCACCUGCUAGUAAAUCACCUGCUGGUAAUAACUAGCGUGACAUUGUAGUGCAGAGACCAACGGUGCUCGUUAGCUCGUCAUUAACACGGCUAGCUAAGACAGCAACAACUUGGUUAACUGGCUGAAAUAGGUCUUCAAUUCAUGAACGGCUAAAUAAAUAUCUACAGAGCCACAUUCGCUAUUGACUUUAGGAUAUAUGAACCAGUUUUCCAAAACCACUAUUGUGUUAUACAGUUUGAAACAGUUUUUAUGUACAGAGGAAGAGGACUCGAACCUGCUCUCAGAAUAUCUGUCAGACUGAGGAGCGGGCAGACCAACUUCCCAAAUAGGGGAGAAGCACUCAAAACACACUAGUUGUUCUUUCAAAGAAAAUUAUACAAAAAUGGUAGGUCUGAAGACCUCUCGUAUUAUCAACCUUACUACAAUGGCAGCAAAUAUUUUAAUGAAUUCAGUAACACAUAAUGAAAGGAAACUUUAAUUAUGUCACCCCUUUUCCUGAGGUGAAUGGUUUCACCCACUACUCUCCCGGAACUGAGGCUUUGACAUCAACAGUUUCACUUUGUUCCACCUUUGCACCAUACGUUCUUCAGAAGCUGGACAGCAUAUGAAUAGAAUCCAUCUUCUCUCCCCCUCUCCCCUCAAGACCAACAUCACACAAGAUGCUUCAGAAAAACAACAACAACAAGCUGGUGAAGUUGCUACCCAACAGGACAACCAAUAUGUUUAAGUUAUAUAUUCUACCAAGUGUUAAUGUCACUACCAUGGAUGUAGAAGUUAUAUAGUCUACCAAGUGUUAAUGUCACUACCAUGAAUGUUUAAGUUAUAUAGUCUACCAAUUGUUAAUGUCACCACCAUGAAUGUAGAAGUUAUAUAGUCUACCAAGUGUUAAUGUCACUACCAUGAAUGUUUAAGUUUUAUAGUCUACCAAGUGUUAAUGUCACCACCAUGGAUGUAGAAGUUAUAUAGUCUACCAAGUGUUAAUUUCACCACCAUGGAUGUAGAAGUUAUAUAGUCUACCAAGUGUUAAUUUCACCACCAUGGAUGUAGAAGUUAUAUAGUCUACCAAGUGUUAAUGUCACCACCAUGGAUGUAGAAGUUAUAUAGUCUACCAAGUGUUAAUUUCUAUCCGACUGU
rnacentral:lncRNA from 13 species